rnacentral:ncRNA from 1 species
UUAGUAGUGUUCCUACUAGCGCUCUAGUGUGGCGAACUAAUUGCUAGUCUCCUCUAGAGGUAAUACCCUUAAAUUGCAAGAAAAUCCUAAAGCUAGUAUUACUAAGCUAGCACUAAAAGGGCGUUAGUAGCUAGGGUAGUGACCUAGGGUAUAGUAAAAGUACACUAGAUAAUGCAAUAGACAAUCCGCAGCUAAGCCUUGUUGCUAUAGGGCACGGGGAAGGUUUAGAGACUACAUAGGGGUAGGUAGUGUACUAUCUAGGGGCUCUAGCCCCUAAGCGCCCGCUUAUAACAUUACUUAAGAUAUAGUCUAGCUAUGCUAGAAAUAGCAUA